GUGGGGAUGUGGCUCAAGUGGUAGCACGCUCGCCUAGCAUGCGUGAGGCACUGGGUUCAAUUCUCAGCACCACA
rnacentral:tRNA from 1 species